rnacentral:rRNA from 1 species
GCCCUUCGAUAACGAACGAGACCUCGGCCCUUAAAUAUGCCCGGUCCGCGUCCGCGGGCCGCUGGCUUCUUAGGGGGACUAUCGGCUCAAGCCGAUGGAAGUGCGAGGAAAUAACAGGUCUGUGAUGCCCUUACAUGUUCUGGGCCGCACGCGCGCUACACUGACAGGGCCAGCGAGUACAUCACCUUGGCCGAGAGGCCCGGGUAAUCUUGUUAAACCCUGUCGUGCUGGGGAUAGAGCAUUGCAAUUAUUGCUCUUCAACGAGGAAUGCCUAGUAGGCACGAGUCAUCAGCUCGUGCCGAUUACGUCCCUGCCCUUUGUACACACCGCCCGUCGCUACUACCGAUUGAAUGGCUAAGGGC